AGAGUUUGAUCAUGGCUCAGGACGAACGCUUGCGGCGUGCCUAAGAAAUGCAAGUCGAGCGAGGUUUAGGCUUCGGCCGACGACCUAGCGGCGAACGGUCGCGUAACACGUAAGCAACCUGCCCUAAAGUUGGGGAUAGCCCGCCGAAAGGCGGAUUAAUACCGAAUGUGGAUAUGAUUUCGCAUGUGAUUAUAUCUGAAGCAGCGAUGCGCUUUAGGAUGGGCUUGCGGCCUAUCAGUUAGUUGGUGUGGGUAACGGCCUACCAAGACGACGACGGGUAGCUGGUCUGAGAGGAUGGUCAGCCGGAUUGGGACUGAGACACGGCCCAGACUCCUACGGGGGGCAGCAAUUAGGAAUCUUGCGCAAUGGGCGAAAGCCUGACGCAGCGACGCCGCGUGACUGAUGAAGUCUUUCGAGAUGUAAAGGUCUUUUGUUGGGGACGAAGGAAGUGACGGUACCCGACGAAUAAGCCCCGGCUAACUACGUGCCAGCAGCCGCGGUAAUACGUAGGGGGCGAGCGUUGUCCGAAUUCACUGGGCGUAAAGCGCGCGUAGGCGGGUUUUUAAGUUGUGGGUGAAAUUCCGAGGCUCAACCUCGGAACUGCCUGCAAAACUGGGAGCCUUGAGGUAUGGAGAGGGAAGUGGAAUUCCUGGUGUAGCGGUGAAAUGCGUAGAUAUCAGGAGGAACACCCGUGGCGAAGGCGGCUUCCUGGCCAUAUCCUGACGCUGAGGUGCGAAAGCCAGGGUAGCGAACGGGAUUAGAUACCCCGGUAGUCCUGGCCAUAAACGAUGGAUACUA
rnacentral:rRNA from 1 species